CGCUCUUUGUGUAAAUAAGCUGAAGAUGAAGAGUCGGACCUGCCCAGUGACAUACGUGUUAAACGGCCGCGGUACUCUGACCGUGCAAAGGUAGCAUAAUCACUUGCCUUUUAAUUGGAGGCUUGCAUGAAUGGUUUAACGAGAACUAAGCUGUCUCCUUUUAAUUAUUUAGAAAUUAACUUAUAGGUGAAGAGGCCUAUAUGUGUUUGAGGGACAAGAAGACCCUUUUGAGUUUUAGUAAAAUUAGAAAAAUUUUGUUUUAAUUUUGGAAUUAAAAUAUAGAAUCAUGUGAUAGGCAUAGAUUAAUUUUUUAAUUAAUCUUUAGUUGGGGCGACUAAGGAGUAAAAUAAGCUUCCUUUAGAUAUAUAAUGAUGGCUGGCUGGUUAGUUUGAUCCAGUAUUUAUUGAUUAAAGGAAAAAAUUACCAUAGGGAUAACAGCGUAAUCUUUUCGGAGAGUUCUUAUCGAAGAAAAGGUUUGCGACCUCGAUGUUGGACUAAGAUAUCCCAGGGGUGUAGAAGCUGCUGAGGGUUGGUCUGUUCGACCAUUAAAAUCUU
rnacentral:rRNA from 1 species